rnacentral:rRNA from 1 species
UACGGAGGGUGCGAGCGUUGUCCGGAAUCACUGGGCGUAAAGGGCGCGUAGGCGGCGCAGACAGUCAACGGUGAAAGCUUGGGGCUCAACCCCGAGUCGGCCGUCGAUACUUCUGGGCUUGAGCACUGUAGAGGCAGGUGGAAUUCCGGGUGUAGCGGUGGAAUGCGUAGAGAUCCGGAAGAACACCGGUGGCGAAGGCGGCCUGCUGGGCAGUAGCUGACGCUGAGGCGCGACAGCGUGGGGAGCAAACGAGG